AAUUGAAGCCAAAGAAAUGACCCAAGAGUCAAUUUGGGACUUAAAAUCAAGCAUCAACUUUUUUAACAACCUAUAGAAUCUGACUUGAGAUACGGCUUAUGCAGUCCAAGUUCCUUUUGUAACUAGGGGACUCUUUUGCGAUUUUUGCUUAGGCGCUCAUAUAUCAUGAAUCAACACUUGCUUAAGUAAAGAAAGAGGCGCUAAAGCAGACCUUUAUCCCCAACAACCCAAAAUCCAAAUUUCCAAUCUUCUUUUGCACAUAUACCAUAAUACCCUUGGGAAAUAGCAAAAUCUGUAUGAGUUCCAAAAGGAAUUGGGUGAUCUGAUGGUACUUUAGGGUUGCUAGCUUUGGUGGCUCAAACAUUGAUUUGUCUACUUGGGAGGACAAGAAGAACCCUAGUGAAUCUCGUUUUCCUGCUCAGCAUGUUCCUACAAUAAAUGGAGGCAUACCUUCAGUCGCUAAAGCAACGUCGAAGCACCAAAAGCUGUUAGAUAGGUUGUCCAACUAUUCUAAGAGUUGUUUGCUCAAACCAAGUACAAAGAGGUUGUUGAGCUUGCUGCAGAAUCCCCACAAGGCAUACUCCGUACACCAGAUAC